GUCGAGGUAAAUCCUCAGCCUAUUUUAAUCGAUUCUUUAUCUUCUUCUCAAUCCUCAAUUGGAUCACUUAUAUUAUCCCAUUCAAUCAAACAGUCGAAAAAAUCUUCCACCGGAAAAACUUCGCAUUCUUGCUUUGCUUCGGCAUUGGGAAAGGCGAUUUUUGAUGCUGAAAGACAAGUUCGUCGGACGGCUUGUCUUGACAAGAGGCAAGAAGAGGAGAUGAAAUGAGCAGGAAAGGAAAAAAAAGUUGAUGAAGAGAGAACGAAAGAAGAAAAAGAAAAGACAAAAAGAGAAAACCAACAGAGAAAAGAGGACGAAGAAAAGAAAAAAGAAGAAUUUCAGAAAAGAAAAGAAGAAUAAAAGCAAAGAGUGAAAGAAGAAGAACAAAAGAGAAGGGGAGAAUAACAUAAAAGGAAAGAAGAAGAAGAAGAACAGAGGAGAGAAAAAGAAAGGAAUGAAAAGGAAGAUAGGAAAAAAAGAGAGGAGGUUAGAGUAAUAGAAGAAGUGGGUGUAGACUUUCCUGUCGAAC
rnacentral:lncRNA from 1 species